GAUGAACGCUGGCGGCGUGCCUAAUACAUGCAAGUCGAGCGAACGGACGAGAAGCUUGCUUCUCUGAUGUUAGCGGCGGACGGGUGAGUAACACGUGGAUAACCUACCUAUAAGACUGGGAUAACUUCGGGAAACCGGAGCUAAUACCGGAUAAUAUUUUGAACCGCAUGGUUCAAAAGUAAAAGACGGUCUUGCUGUCACUUAUAGAUGGAUCCGCGCUGCAUUAGCUAGUUGGUAAGGUAACGGCUUACCAAGGCAACGAUGCAUAGCCGACCUGAGAGGGUGAUCGGCCACACUGGAACUGAGACACGGUCCAGACUCCUACGGUGGGCAGCAGUAGGGAAUCUUCCGCGAUGGACGAAAGCCUGACGGUGCAACGCCGCGUGAGUGAUGAAGGUCUUCGGAUCGUAAAACUCUGUUAUUAGGGAAGAACAUAUGUGUAAGUAACUGUGCACAUCUUGACGGUACCUAAUCAGAAAGCCACGGCUAACUACGUG
rnacentral:rRNA from 1 species